rnacentral:rRNA from 1 species
GACGUAGGGGGCGAGCGUUGUCCGGAAUUACUGGGCGUAAAGAGCACGUAGGUGGGAAUUUAAGUCAGAUGUGAAAGACCGGGGCUCAACCCCGGGGUUGCAUUUGAAACUGGGUUUCUUGAGGGCAGGAGAGGACAGUAGAAUUCCUGGUGUAGCGGUGAAAUGCGUAGAAAUCAGGAGGAAUACCAGUGGCGAAGGCGACUGUCUGGACUGUUCCUGACACUGAGGUGCGAAAGCGUGGGUAGCAAACAGG